AUAAAAAACCAACGCCCUUCGGGGCUCCUUGGUGAAUCAUAAUAACUAAGCGAAUCGCAUGGCCUUGCGCCGGCGAUGGUUCAUUCAAAUUUCUGCCCUAUCAACUUUCGAUGGUAAGAUAGUGGCUUACCAUGGUGGCAACGGGUAACGGGGAAUUAGGGUUCGAUUCCGGAGGGGGAGCCUGAGAAACGGCUACCACAUCCAAGGAAGGCAGCAGGCGCGCAAAUUACCCAAUCCCGACACGGGGAGGUAGUGACAAUAAAUACUGAUACGGGGCUCUUUUGGGUCUCGUAAUUGGAAUGAGUACAAUCUAAAUCCCUUAACGAGGAACAAUUGGAGGGCAAGUCUGGUGCCAGCAGCCGCGGUAAUUCCAGCUCCAAUAGCGUAUAUUAAAGUUGUUGCAGUUAAAAAGCUCGUAGUUGAACCUUGGGUCUGGCUGACCGGUCCGCCUCACCGCGAGUACUGGUUCGGCUGGGCCUUUCCUUCUGGGGAACCUCAUGGCCUUCACUGGCUGUGG
rnacentral:rRNA from 1 species